CCUACGGGGGGCAGCAGUGGGGAAUAUUGCACAAUGGGGGAAACCCUGAUGCAGCAACGCCGCGUGAGCGAUGGAGUACUUCGGUAUGUAAAGCUCUGUCAGCAGGGAAGAGAAUGACGGUACCUGACCAAGAAGCCCCGGCUAACUACGUGCCAGCAGCCGCGGUAAUACGUAGGGGGCAAGCGUUAUCCGGAUUUACUGGGUGUAAAGGGGGCGCAGACGGCAGCGCAAGCCAGGAGU
rnacentral:rRNA from 1 species